rnacentral:lncRNA from 1 species
CAAAGACUCUAAACUACAGCCAUUUCAGGGCUCACAUGGCAGCUUGUCAGAAUGAGUGUCUCAGCCCCCUUUUUCAGUUGCUCUGCCAUCCUCAGUGGGGUGCUUCCAUUCUGUGGGCUAAGAAGGCUGCUCUGGCUCCUACCCUCACACUCAUUCCAGCCACUGAGGAGGAGAAAAGGGCUGGGUGGAGGCACUCUCCUUACCUGUCAAGGCAUAACCAGCAAUUGCCAUUAUCACUUCCACUCACGCUCCAUUGGGCAGACCUAGUCACGUGGUCAGACUGCGCCAGGUAGGAAGCUGGGAAACGUCUUGAGUGCAGUCAAGCAUAGGCUCACCUAAAAUUGCUGACACUGUAGAGUGACGGGAGAGUGGAGGCUGCUGACAGCCUGCAUCUCUGCUGCAUGCCCACGUCAGGUUAAGGGGGUUUCCUUCUGUUCCUUGUUUCCUAAGAGCUUUUCUUUUUUGGUGCUUAUUAUAAAUGAGUGGUGAAUUUUAUCAAAGGCUUUCUUCUGCAUUUAUUGAAAUGGUCAGAUUGCUUUGCUCUUUUAAUCUUACAGUGUGAUCCCUUAGAACAAAAUUUCUAAUGUUAAUCCGCUCUUGUCGGCCAGGGAUUCAACCCAAUGUGGUUAUGAUAUGCUGAUUUUAUCUUCUGUGUACACUGCAGGACUUAGUUUCCGACUGUUUUGCUGAGGAUUUUUGCAUCUUUUUCAUGAAUGAGAUAGAUCUGUAAUUUUCCUUUAUCAUAUUUUCUUUAUUUGGUUUUGGUAUAAAAAUCAGUGUUUGGUAUUGCCUAAUAAAAUGCAUUGUCAGGCUUCCUCACCCUCACCCCACCCUCUUCUCUUUUUCUCUAGCCUCUGAAAUGUCUGAGUGAGGAAAUGCACUUAAAGCUGUCAAUUACCCCAUGUACUGCUUUACACAUCCUACAAGUUAAUCUGAGGUACUUUCAUUGUCCCUCACUCGAAAUAUUUUCUAAUUUUCAUUGUAAUGUUCUCUUCACCUCGUGAAUUAUUUAGAUGUACAUUUUGGAGUAUCCAGAUAUGUAUGUAUGUAUGCAUAUAUGUGUAUGUAUGUAUAUAUUCAUCUUUUAAACUACAUUUUUGUUGUUAAUUGUUAAUUACACUGUGAUCAGAUAAUGUGG